UCCAAGUCGAACGAACUCUGGGUAUUGAUUGGGUGCUUGCAUCAUGAUUUACAUUUGAGUGAGUGGCGAACUGGUGAGUAACACGUGGGAAACCUGCCCAGAAGCGGGGGAUAACACCUGGAAACAGAUGCUAAUACCGCAUAACAACUUGGACCGCAUGGUCCGAGCUUGAAAGAUGGCUUCGGCUAUCACUUUUGGAUGGUCCCGCGGCGUAUUAGCUAGAUGGUGGGGUAACGGCUCACCAUGGCAAUGAUACGUAGCCGACCUGAGAGGGUAAUCGGCCACAUUGGGACUGAGACACGGCCCAAACUCCUACGGGAGGCAGCAGUAGGGAAUCUUCCACAAUGGACGAAAGUCUGAUGGAGCAACGCCGCGUGAGUGAAGAAGGGUUUCGGCUCGUAAAACUCUGUUGUUAAAGAAGAACAUAUCUGAGAGUAACUGUUCAGGUAUUGACGGUAUUUAACCAGAAAGCCACGGCUAACUACGUGCCAGCAGCCGCGGUAAUACGUAGAUGGCAAGCGUUGUCCGGAUUUAUUGGGCGUAAAGCGAGCGCAGGCGGUUUUUUAAGUCUGAUGUGAAAGCCUUCGGCUCAACCGAAGAAGUGCAUCGGAGACUGGGAAACUUGAGUGCAGAAGAGGACAGUGGAACUCCAUGUGUAGCGGUGAAAUGCGUAGAUAUAUGGAAGAACACCAGUGGCGAAGGCGGCUGUCUGGUCUGUAACUGACGCUGAGGCUCGAAAGUAUGGGUAGCAAACAGGAUUAGAUACCCUGGUAGUCCAUACCGUAAACGAUGAAUGCUAAGUGUUGGAGGGUUUCCGCCCUUCAGUGCUGCAGCUAACGCAUUAAGCAUUCCGCCUGGGGAGUACGGCCGCAAGGCUGAAACUCAAAGGAAUUGACGGGGGCCCGCACAAGCGGUGGAGCAUGUGGUUUAAUUCGAAGCUACGCGAAGAACCUUACCAGGUCUUGACAUACUAUGCAAAUCUAAGAGAUAGACGUUCCCUUCGGGGACUGGAUACAGUGGUGCAUGGUUGUCGUCAGCUCUGUCGUGAGAUGUUGGUUAAUCCCGCAACGACGCAACCCUUAUAUCAUUGCCACAU
rnacentral:rRNA from 1 species